rnacentral:lncRNA from 1 species
CGCGAUCCUCUCGCGAGAACAGCCGGAGUUGGGGGCUCUCGCACCUUAAAUGCUCACAUUUGCUCGUUGCUCAGCCAGCCAUCUUCUUUCUCUAACGGCUGGUUUUGAAAGUUUGGAGGAGAAUGAAACCUAACAGAACUUUCUGAAGAAAUAGUCCACCGGCUCCAUGGACUAGGAGCUAUGGAUAAAAGUAGCCCAGGAAAUGUCACUCUCAGCCAUUCAGAUGACAUCCUUCCUUUUCAACACAGUGGGUAGGUUGUGCCAGUUCCAGCUCCCAUCCCAGGAGGACCUCCUGCCAGCCUCCUUGACAUAUGCACAUGGCCACAGUCAGACCCAGCACCAUCUGUCCCCUGUGGUGAGGUGAAGAUCCAGUUCUGCCUGAGUCUGUGUCCCAGGGGGAGAGGAGCUGGAGUGAGCCACCUCUUGGGAUUUCACUGGGCAGGAGGAGACUGGGCUACUGCAGGAGUUCUGGGGGAUGGGCUUGGUGGCAUUGCUGCAAUCACUGUUAUUUUGGGGAUGGAAGCUUUAAAAUGUAUGACAGAACCAUAUAAAUCCACGAAAGAGUUACAUCAGCCAUGGGUUUCAUCCCUGCUCUCACAGCAGAACUGUGGUGAUGAUUCGGAAAAGCAGGAAUGUACUGAACACACCCUAGACCAGUGAAAAGGAAACUCCAGCUGUAUAGCCCAAAGACACAAAUCUGGGUGAUUCAGAUGCACAGACAGCAUUAAAAGGCAGUGACAGAACCUGACAUGAGGAGCCUCCUGAUGUGACACAAUACAAAACACAACAUCACCAAGGAAGUAUCAUUACCAAAAAUGUCUAACCUGAAUCCAGCUUCGAGAAAACAACAUGCCAACCCCGGUUGUGGAUAUUCUAUAAUACAAGUGGCAGGACUCUUCAGGGAAGUCAAUGCCAUUAAGAGAAACAACGAAGGCAAGAUAUUUUAGACUAAAAGGCACUAAAAAGACAUAAUUCAACACAUAAACCUUGAUUGUGGCUCAGAAUUAAAACACACACAAAUAUUAUAAAAAUCUUUGGAAACAACUGGAGAACUUUGAAUAUAAAAUGUAGAUUAGAUGUUAUUAAAUCAUUAGCUUUUUUAGCUGUGAUGAUGAUAUUGUGG